GAAUAUUGGUCAAUGGACGAAAGUCUGAACCAGCAACGCCGCGUGCGCGAUGAAGGCCUUCGGGUCGUAAAGCGCUUUUCUGUGGGAAGAGAAAGGACGGUACCCCAGGAAUAAGUCUCGGCUAACUACGUCCCCGCAGCCGCGGUAACACGUAGGAGGCGAGCGUUAUCCGGAUUUACUGGGCGUAAAGCGCGUGCAGGCGGUUUGGUAAGUUGGAUGUGAAAUCUCCUGGCUCAACUGGGAGAGGUCGUUCAAUACUGCCAGACUAGAGGACGGCAGAGGAAGGUAGAAUUCCCGGUGUAGUGGUGAAAUGCGUAGAUAUCGGGAGGAAUACCAGUGGCGAAGGCGGCCUUCUGGGCCGUUCCUGACGCUCAGACGCGAAAGCGUGGGUAGCGAACGGG
rnacentral:rRNA from 1 species